UAUUAUGCUCAAUUACUAGCUAUU
rnacentral:miRNA from 1 species